rnacentral:rRNA from 1 species
CCCAGACUCCUACGGGAGGCAGCAGUGGGGAAUAUUGGGCAAUGGGCGCAAGCCUGACCCAGCAACGCCGCGUGAAGGAAGAAGGCUUUCGGGUUGCAAACUUCUUUUCUCAGGGACGAAGCAAGUGACGGUACCUGAGGAAUAAGCCACGGCUAACUACGUGCCAGCAGCCGCGGUAAUACGUAGGUGGCAGGCGUUAUCCGGAUUUACUGGGUGUAAAGGGCGUGUAGGCGGGAAAGCAAGUCAGAUGUGAAAACCAUGGGCUCAACCUGUGGCCUGCAUUUGAAACUGUUUUUCUUGAGUACUGGAGAGGCAGACGGAAUUCCUAGUGUAGCGGUGAAAUGCGUAGAUAUUAGGAGGAACACCAGUUGCGAAGGCGGCUCUCUGGACUGUAACUGACACUGAGGCACGAAAGCGUGGGGAGCAAACAGGAUUAGAUACCCUAGUA